AACGAACGCUGGCGGCAUGCCUAACACAUGCAAGUCGAACGAGACCUUCGGGUCUAGUGGCGCACGGGUGCGUAACGCGUGGGAACCUGCACUUAGGUUCGGAAUAACUCCCCGAAAGGGGUGCUAAUACCGGAUAAUGUCUUCGGACCAAAGAUUUAUCGCCUUUGGAUGGGCCAGCGUUGGAUUAGCUAGUUGGUAGGGUAAAAGCCUACCAAGGCGACGAUCCAUAGCUGGUCUGAGAGGAUGAUCAGCCACACUGGGACUGAGACACGGCCCAGACUCCUACGGGAGGCAGCAGUGGGGAAUAUUGGACAAUGGGCGAAAGCCUGAUCCAGCAAUGCCGCGUGAGUGAUGAAGGCCUUAGGGUUGUAAAGCUCUUUUACCCGGGAUGAUAAUGACAGUACCGGGAGAAUAAGCUCCGGCUAACUCCGUG
rnacentral:rRNA from 1 species